AGCUUCAGGACAUCUUCAGCACACCCAGCUUCCCAUUCUUCCUAGGCACAAACGGAUCCACCUUCUGCGUGUGCUGAAAUAGCUGAAGUCAAGCUCAUCUACUGCACCUCUGUUGCCAGCCUGCAGAGUCCAGCCUACUUGUUGGAAAGAAAAAUGGACAACAAAAAUAAAUGAGAAAAAGGCAAUGAUCAUAAUGGUAAGAAUAUUGUAAUAUUUUCAGCUUUGAAGAUGAUUAGGAUAGUAAGACUCAUAAGAAAAAUAACUAGCAUUUAUUUAUAUUAAUUACUGUUUGGUUAGAAUGGAUAUUCAUAUGAAAGUACAUUCAGAAGCUCACUGAGAUAUUGGCUAGCAUUCAGAAAAACUUUGCAUCACCUUAACUCAUUCAAAUUAAGGUGAUUUCAGCUAUUACAAAUACUAAGAGGGCAGACUAUUCCAAUAUUAGGGAAUCUUAUUCUAGAAGUAAAUCCCUAUAAGGCUAUUUUAGGAAUAACUACUUCGUACUUAUAACUUGUGGGAAACAAUUUUUUGAAGUAUUCUUAUGAACUGAUGAUCACUGUUCAGUUGUAGCUCACCUGAAUGAAAAAGAGUUUGGGUUUCCCUGCUAGACUUCUGCACUUGUCACCCCUGAAAAGGCUCGUUAGUACCUUCAGUUCAAGAGGGCCAUCUGUACCAUAGAAGAGUCCUUCGUCGCCAUGGCUUAGCAACACACAAACAAAACUGCUUCGUUUGCUGUGAUCUUCUUCAGAAACUUGAAAGAAAAGGAGAAUCAACUUACUGCACUCCCCAAGAAGCUUUGAACUUUGUGCAAUAGAACUCAUUAAGAACAACUGUUUGCAGACCUAGAAACCUCAAACACUUCACUCCUAAUGAAAGGAGCCAGUGUACUUCACUUCAUAAGGUCGGACAUAGAAAACCCUAAACUUAGGGCCAAUCCUAUGCCUUGUAGAAUGUGGCCACGUGGAAAAAAUGGCUAUGAACAUUGUGAAUGGACAAAGCGAGUUGGGAGCAGUGAUUCAGCACACUAUCUCAGAUUCCAAAUGAUGCACCUCACUUAUAAUGGUCAAUAGGAUCAGGCUGAUGGGAAGUUCUGAGUUUUGGGAAAGGACAGGGAAGUCUUGUUUCUCCUUACAUUUCAACACUGGAUUACAUGGCAACUGCAAUAUGAAAACUGUUGCUGCUAGAUGGACCUAGCUACUAAUGUUACACCUUUCCCUUUGCUCUUGCCUUCUAGAAGCAAGGUCUAGCAAGAUUUUUCAGGCUUCUGAGUUUUGUACUUAAAGACCUUUAAGCAAGACAUAAAGCUUUUCAUCCUGUGGUAUGUAAAGAUAUAGAAAAUAUAUUCUACUAUGUUUUUUGUUGCCUGAAACCAUGGGGAUUGUUCUUGAUGACCAAAAUGAUUCUUUUAAGUGUACAAAAAGAUACAAACAAGGUUUAAAAGAAGGGAUCCAAAAGGAGUUUCGAAUGGAAGUUUCAAGAAAAUGCAAGAGUUCAUAGACAGAAGCUGUAAACUUCUGUUUUACAGCUUGCUGAAUACUGGAUUUCUAUUCUGGAAAAACUGAACUAUUUUUAUUUUUCUCAAGCAAUGCAUGCUCAGGCACUUCUAUAAUCUAUGGACAAGCACUGUGUCUAAAAGAGUCAAGAAAAGCUAGUUUUGGGGAAUCUCUAGUUAGGCCAGAGUUUACACCAUCCAUGUGCAGGCCCUAUGUAUACCACAGGAAAGACAGAAGCCUGGAAUCAGAGAAUGUGACCUUCCACUUUUAGCUACUGUCAACAGACAAGCUGCAAGUUCACGUUGUCUAAGAGUCUUCUCUGGUACAAACAUUAACUGGCACUAAAUAGCCAAAUCCACGCUAGCAAACAUAUACAUCGAAAAAACAGGAUUGCUGCAGACUGAUUUACUGUUGGGAAUACUCUCUGGAACACUUUCACUGCUGAACUGUGACCUGAAACAGUCUGAGAGUGUGCCACAGUUGUACCAGAGAACCUUCUGACAGUUUACCAGAGUAGACUAUUUCAGGGCAAAAAAACACUUCAAGGCACCAUUUAAUUUACUAGUCUAGAUGUAUUAAGUCCAAACAAAACAAGAUCAGCACAAACAGUGGUAUAAAGGGUUUCACUUGUAAGAGAGCUGCUUUGCAUCACAAGCCAAACAAAACGCGAGUUAUUUCUCUAAAAGAGUAAUUCAGUCCACAUACAGAACUACAGUAGUUCUGAUCCCCUGAUAAGGGCACCUCUUGGACCACACUGCCCACACUACCCUUCUACCCAAUUAAGCAGGUUUCUUUCCAGCUCACAGUUUCUGUGAUUCAAAGGUCAGAAAAUAAAUCUUCCUGCAUUUAAAUUUCAGCCUGUUUUUCCAGCCCUCUUUAGAAGAUAAGAAAGGAUUCUGAGACAACGGUCAUGGCACAAAAGAGGGAGAGACAGCAAUGAUGAAUUAACAUAGGAACUACAACAUAUAUGUUCUCUUUAGCAAUAAGGAGUUGUGAAGUACUUUGUAAAAGAACCACGGAAGAAGAGAUUUAAGUACUAGAAGUGAUUUAGAAUCAGUAGACUUAGCACACAUUCUGAUCAUACCUGAACUUACCAUUUUUCAAUAGCUUAAAAAUAUCUCUGCUUGACAGAUCAUUGUUAAGCUUGACUUUAUAUCCCAGCUUCAUGAAAACUUCUCUGACACUUGCAGCAUCUGCAUCUGUGCCUGAACGAGAUGACAGUCCUAGACAUAAAAGACAGGUAUUAUUUUGAUAUGAUAUAAAUGGCACACUCUGAGCCAAAUUAUUUUCUUUCUUAUAUCUGCAUCAGUCUAGAAUAUUAUUCCAUUACUUCAGAUCCACUCUGAGAAAAAAACAUCAUACUAUUCAUGCACACUCCAUCUCCCUGUACCUAUUUCAUGUAUUUAUCUAUUACUUACACCUACCCGUCUAUAUUGAGACAAUUACCUUAUUUAUGUUACAGAAGUCAUGACUAAAAGGCAUGGCAGAUUUGCACACAGCCAAUCAGCUUUUCCUCACCACUACUCCCCCUGUGCAUAUUUAGAAGAAUACCCUGAAAUGAAUCCAAUCCACUCAAACCACUUAAUUUUUCAAUACAGUCAAAACUGGACUGCAUAUUUAAUUCUGAAGAAUAACACAUCAAAUUUAUCUGAAAUACAGAAAAAAAAAGUAAUAAUUGAAAGCAGUACCAGUAUCUCGGUGGAAGUUCUUGUUGUUUAUUAUAACACAUACUCCCAUCUCUGGAUAAUCCAUUCUGUAACUGUCAUCGGGCAGAAUUCCAGAGUCCACAGACUUGCUAGCAGGUAAGUUCAUUCUGUACACAAAUCAGACAAGCUUCAAGUAUUAAUUUCUGUUCUCUCUUCUCUGAUUUCUUAGUAUCUAAAUAAGCAAAUGGCUAUUUAAGAAAACGAGUGAAAGUGGUAAGGUUUGCUACUUGAUUCAUGGAAGUGAUGCCUGUAAAAAUCAGUGGACAGAUCCAAUGUGAGACUAUUGAAAAACGCAUUUGCCCAGAGGUUGGAGUAACCCAUGAAACUGCUUUGUAUGGUUGUGCACCCAAAUAAUAUGAUUGAUUCAAGUUCCAUUAAAUCUAUGCAUACACAAAUAAACAGGUAAAUAAAAGCAA